rnacentral:rRNA from 1 species
UCCGAUCAACAACGGUUAAAUUUGGGAUACCUUUGGGACCCGUCUUGAAACACGGACCAAGGAGUCUAUCUAGUGUGCGAGUAAAUGGGAACAUAUGAAACCUAUUUGCGUAAAUAACUUGACUGUUAUGGGAUUACGAGCGCGUGUGUGCAAGCGCCGCGUUCCUCCAUCCCGGGGUAUUUUCAUCACAUGUACCGCUCUCGGGUGGMCCACMUGGAAAAUAUACCAUGAGCAUACUGGAUAUGACCCGAAAGAUGGUGAACUAUGCCUGAUCAGGYUGAAGUCAGGGGAAACCCUGAUGGAGGACCGAAGCAAUUCUGACGUGCAAAUCG